UACGGGAGGCAGCAGUGGGGAAUAUUGGACAAUGGGGGAAACCCUGAUCCAGCGACGCCGCGUGCGUGAAGAAGGCCUGCGGGUUGUAAAGCACUUUUAGUGGGGAUGAAAAGCUCAGGGAUAACACCUCUGGGUCUUGACCUAACCCACAGAAAGAGCACCGGCUAACUCUGUGCCAGCAGCCGCGGUAAUACAGAGGGUGCAAGCGUUAAUCGGAAUUACUGGGCGUAAAGCGUGCGUAGACGGUUAUGUAAGUCGGGUGUGAAAGCCCCGGGCUCAACCUGGGAAUGCCAUUCGAGACUGCAUAGCUAGGGUGCGGAAGAGGGAAGCGGAAUUUCCGGUGUAGCGGUGAAAUGCGUAGAUAUCGGAAGGAACACCAGUGGCGAAAGCGGCUUCCUGGUCCAGCACCGACGUUC
rnacentral:rRNA from 1 species